rnacentral:rRNA from 1 species
CAAUAGCGUAUAUUAAAGUUGUUGCAGUUAAAAAGCUCGUAGUUGGAUUUCUUGGGUAGCAAGCGGGUCGGCACAAAGUGUCUGUACUAGCUUUGCUAUUCAAUCCUCGUAACAAGGUAUCGGUGAGUUAACUCCAUUCGGUGCUGAGUUGCGUCAUUUACUGUGAACAAAUUAGAGUGUUUAAAGCAGGCAAAUGUUGUGAAUACAUUAGCAUGGAAUAAUAAGAUAGGACCUAGAGUCUAUUUUGUUGGUUGCGAUUUUAGGUAAUGAUUAAUAGGGAUAGUUGGGGGUAUUCAUAUUCAAUUGUCAGAGGUGAAAUUCUUGGAUUUAUGGAAGAUGAACAACUGCGAAAGCAUUUACCAAGGAUGUUUUCAUUAA